CGGCAGGCGGCAUCCCAGGGUGAUAGGCUGAAGCAAUCGAGCGCCGAGAGCCCGGCCGCGUGUGCACUCCAGUAACGAAGCGGGGGAGGGACUGCGCCAAAGGCAGGAAAAGUCGGACACCGAAUUAUUCAUCCGGCCUGUCCCGCCUACUUUCCAAAUACCCUCCCGGGGCGAGCAGGGUAUUGAGCGGUCCGGGUCUCUGCAAAAGAUGGAAGAAGCUGCUUUAUCUUACAGUCACCCAAGGGGGACCGCCGCCUUCCUUCCCAGAGUGGAGUGGCAGUGGGUCCGGGAUUCUGGGAUAUGCACAGGGUCUGCACCCUGCGCCCUGUCCGCGCUGAAGCUGGACUUGUCAUUGGUUUACAACAGCAUGGUGAAGAAGUGUGGUGUGGAUGGAUGGACGGGCCUCGCAGGCACAUGAAAUGCUCAAAAGCCCAGUAUUAACCAAACAUGUUUCUCCGUUUUGUCUUU